UACGGAGGAUGCGAGCGUUAUCCGGAUUUAUUGGGUUUAAAGGGUGCGUAGGCGGGACUUUAAGUCAGUGGUGAAAGUUUGCGGCUCAACCGUAAAAUUGCCAUUGAAACUGAAGUUCUUGAUUGCAGUAGAGGUAGGCGGAAUGUGUAGUGUAGCGGUGAAAUGCUUAGAUAUUACACAGAACACCAAUUGCGAAGGCAGCUUACUGGAGUGUAAAUGACGCUGAGGCACGAAAGCGUGGGUAUCAAACAGG
rnacentral:ncRNA from 2 species